ensembl:lincRNA AI839979 expressed sequence AI839979
CCAGCCGGUGCCUUUGUGGCCUCUUGGGCUGGGUUGCAAUCUCAUGCCAACCCGCUUGCCGGUUGUCAGGAGGCCUCUGGGGAGGACGCUGCAGGAGCCUCAAACGCCACCUACUCCCGGCCUCUCUCCCGGUUGAUGUUUCUAUUUUGGGCACCACAUUAUUUCCUGCUGUGAUUUUUUUUUCAGGCUUCUAAUUCAGGCUCUGAGGAAUGGGAGUCCAACGCUUCCGUGUCCGAAGUCUGUUUAACUAUAUUUGGACAAUGACCCUUUAGAGAUGCUGAUAAAGGCUACACAGAAUCCCAGAAACUGUCCACAACAAACUCACAGCAGACAAAAUGGUAAAGCUCCCGGGAGUCUCACCCAUCCCAGUCCAUGGGGGUGACUUUAGCUGAGACUCCUAGCAGUGAGGAUAUGGAGCCUGUUGUGCUUGUAGACAGGAGCCUAGCAUAACUCCUCUGACAGCUACCCAGCAGCUGACUGAAACAGAUGCUGAGUCCCACAGUCAAACAUUAAAUGGAGCUUGGGGACUCUUGUGGAAGAGUUGUGGGAAGGAUUGCAGGCCCUGAAGGAAAUAGGAACUCUACAAGAAGACCAACAAAGUCAACUAACCUGGACCACUAGGGGCUCCCAGAAACUGAACCAUCAACCAAAGA